CACUAAUGAAACAGCUCUGCGUCCUGUUGUGGGAGGGACAGUGUGUCACUGUGAAGGCUGUUUGGAGAUGUCAAGAAGUCAUACAGCUUUAAAAAGACAUGAAGUGAAAACUGGAGAAGGAUAAAAGGGCAAUCCAGACCGCCAGAGAGG